UCCAAACACCAGCAGCUCCAGCAUUGGACGUAGUUCAUUCUCGGUGUUUCGGAAGGAUUUUUUUCGAUAAACCACACGAGAAUGGCUUAAGUGAACUGCUGAACCAUGUUGCAUACAAAGCACCACAAAGAGUAUCCAUGGCAUGUGGGAGCUCCAAGACAGAUUGACUGGACCUUUUUCUGAAAUGUUUUUCAACUUUCUGGACCAGACUGAAGGCUUCACGUGAUGGCCAACACAGCACUCCUGGUUUGAAUUCCUUCAGUAUCAAUAGGGUACUGUGCUCUCCUUCCAAAGUGUCAUCAUUUUGCUUAAUUGAACUUGAGCAUCAAUCACAGAUGUUGGAAUGUUUGAUGAGUUUAUUUACAAUGUAUCCUGUAAGAUGGGACAGAAUACAUGUUUCGCUCUUGGUGAGGUCAGGAGCAUCUGUGUUUCCAAUCUGCUCCACACGAAGGCCAGGACGGGGAAAUGUCUCCUUAAUGUCCAGGAACUCUGCCAGAAGACUGCCGCCAUCCAUUUGGUGCAUCCAAAUGCAGCAAACCCAACUAUGGGAGGUCAGCAGAUGUGGUUACUGACUUCAAAGGGAGCUGCUGCCAAUGAUGCCAAGGAGGAUGAAUCCUCAUUUGGACUUAGGCACAUUUCUAGCUUGUCCAGAUUUGAUCAGAUACAGUUUAUUGGUGCAGAUGUAAUUAAUAAACUGUAUAAAUGGUA